ACUCCUUAUCAAAUCUGCUUUACUUGAAUUUAUCAAAUUUAUUCAUAGUCUAAUAGAAAAGAAUUUCAACUCUCGUUUCACGAGAAUUAGGAAGUUAUUUCCAGAGUUUGAUGUUGGUGAGUUCCUGUAUCCCUGUGCCACUUUUUAGCAUUUUCUACAGUGCGCACGGCUUCUUAUCCUUCACCAUCCCAUUCCUCUUCUCUUUCCCUGCCACUGAACCCAAACAAACAAGCGCUGUCGUUGGAUCUCACACAACCCGAUUCUCGUGCUUUUAUGGAUUUGCGUCGCCAAGAGAGUUUGUGAUUUUCAUCUUGCGAAGCGCCUUGCGGAUCUGUGAUCGGAAUACAGGAUCGUUUCAAUGGCUGGGAGUAACGAGCUUAACCCCAACGAUUCUAAGUCUCUUUAUGCUCAGGUUUCUCUUACUCAGUGUAUAUAAAGGUCGCCAUGAUAGUCCGGUUCAUAAUGCUCCAUUGGAAUUCUGAUGUGUAUGGAUUCCUCGAGCCACAGUCCAUUCAGAGAUCUGGACAAUCACAAUUUGAAUCCGAAAGUUACAUCAAGAGUUGGAUACAGAGUUCAAAACGAGAUGUUUACCUUGGAGCCUAUCUGAAUAGUGGACACUGGCAAAUGGUCGUCAUUCUACCUAAGGAAAACCUAGUUGUCUGGUUUUGUUC